rnacentral:rRNA from 1 species
UACAGAGGUCUCAAGCGUUGUUCGGAAUUACUGGGCGUAAAGGGCUCGUAGGCGGCCAACUAAGUCAGACGUGAAAUCCCCAGGCUCAACCUGGGAACUGCGUCUGAUACUGGAUGGCUUGAAUCCGGGAGAGGGAUGCAGAAUUCCAGGUGUAGCGGUGAAAUGCGUAGAUAUCUGGAGGAAUACCGGUGGCGAAGGCGGCAUCCUGGACCGGCAUUGACGCUGAGGAGCGAAAGCUAGGGGAGCAAACGGG